rnacentral:lncRNA from 1 species
GAACUUCAGUGAAGAUCGGUCUUCUCUGUCCCUCCCGUGUGCUUGGGGGCAGGCCUGUGGCUUUCUAAUACUGCCAAGGACUGGGUGGAAAAGUCUGCCUAACUCUUGGGUUUCCUAUAUGUUCCCACAUUCUCCAGUAGCACCUCUUGUAACUAAUGAACGUGAUAUUUUGGCUUCCCUAGGUCUGAUCUUGUCUGUCUGUCAAAUGAUUUUGAACCCAGGUGGGAAAAGAAGUAUUAUUUAUGAGGCCCACUUCAAUCUCACCAUUAUUCAUUCGUUCAGCAAUUGUUUAUUGCGUGACCAUUCUGUACCAGGACAGACCCCGUAGAGACUGAGAGAAAGAGAUGGUUCCUGCCCUUGAUGGGCUCACAGUCUAGUGAGGGCUGCCCACUGAUGCAUCUCCAGGGCUUGUACACUCGAUGACUAUUUGUUGAAUGAAAGAACAAAUGAAGACACUGCAUUAUAAUGUGUAGGUGCCAGAGCAGAAGGACAAAGCCAGUGAGGAGUGAGAUGCCCAGAGGGCAAGGGAGAUGAGGAAGAGCAGGAGCUGAAGAAGUGGCCCAAGGAGAGGACCAGGAGAGGUAGAGUGACUUCUCUGAUCUGGAGCUGUGGGAAGAACAAACUGGGCAUGACUGAAUCACAUUCACCCUUCCUCCUCUUGGGGAUGAGCUGCCCUCAGGAAGCAGGUGUUCCUCUUGGUUCUUCUAGGGGAAGGCUUGACCCAUCAAACCCAACUGCCUGCAUCAGGUUGGAGAGGAGAAAACUGAAGUGGAGAGCAGUUAAGGAACAUGCUUGGGGUCCCGUGACCACUGAGUGGAUGAGUCAGAAGUCAACCCCUGCAUUAUCUGCCUCUGGGAGCUCAGCCCUGAGCACGUGGCUACCUGCAGCAAAGCAGAACUGCAUAGGAGCACAGAUGAGUUGAGACCAAGGAUGCUAAUUAGGCUUGGCUCCCUCAGCGUGAUAAAGCAAACUGACCAAUCUACUCUUUGGAAGCAGAAGAUGGGAAAGAGGCCACUUCUGAGAUGACUGUGCACCCAGAGACAGACUCUUGUUUCAUGUAACUUGUCUGUGAAAAUUCCUCUAGAUGAAUGCAGGAGGGAAUCUGGGCAAGUCCUAGAGCAGGAUAGAGAUGUUUGAAAAUCCUUUCAGAGUUAACUUAGACUAAGCAACGUAGAUGCCUCUCCCAUCCGCCCCAUUUCUGCAAAUUUCUGCCAAAAAAUAUGACCCUCUGUCUCACAGAAUUCUUAGUGUGCUGGAAGACUCCAGAAUGAUAUGCAGAGGAAGUAUUGCUGCUUCUCACAGCGGACCAUUCAGAACCUCAUGGACACUUUUCUUUUGAUUAUUUUCUUGUGGAAUUAUUUUUUUUUAUUAAUUUAAUUAUUUUUAUUGCAGUAACAUUGGUUUAUAACACUAUAUAAAUUUUGGGUGUACAUCAUUAUAUUCCGAUUUCUAUGUAGAUUACAUCAUGUUCACCACCCAAAGACUAAUUGCAAUCCAUCACCACACACACGUGUCUAAUCACCCCUUUUGUCCUUCUCCCUCUAAGACCGAUGUCAAAGAGUGUACAGCCUAUACUUUCUUCUAGGAGUUUUAUGGUUUCAGGUCUUACCAUCAAGUCUUCGAUCCAUUUUGAGUUAAUUUUUGUGUAUAGCCAAAGAUAAUGGUCUGCUUUCAUUCUUUUGUAUGUGGCUGUCCAGUUUUCCCAACAUCAUUUAUUGAAGAGACUUUCCUUUCUCCAUUGUAUUUUCUUAGCUCCUUUGUCAAAGAUUAGCUGUCUAUAGAUGUGUGGUUUUAUUUCUGGGCAUCCAAUUCUGUUCCAUUGAUCUGUGUGCCUGUUUUUGUAACAGU